rnacentral:rRNA from 1 species
GACGAACCGAGCGAACGUUGUUCGGAAUCACUGGGCUUAAAGGGCGCGUAGGCGGGCUGCCAAGUCUGUGGUGAAAUCCUCCAGCUUAACUGGAGAACGGCCGUGGAUACUGGCGGUCUCGAGGAAGGUAGGGGCAAGUGGAACUGUGCGUGGAGCGGUGAAAUGCGUUGAGUAUGCACAGGAACUCCGGUGGCGAAGGCGACUUGCUGGACCUUUUCUGACGCUGAGGCGCGAAAGCUAGGGGAGCGAACGGGG